UGUAUGUGCCUGGUCCCCCAAAAUCUCAGGAGGUUAUCAGACUCCCUGGAGCUGGAGUUGUGCAUAAUUGUGAACCACCAUGGAACAGAACCUGGGUCCUCCAGGAAGAGCAGCCAGUGCUUUUAACUGCUGAGCCAUCUCUCCAGUCCCCUUCCUGAUGCUCUUGUCUUGACAUCCCUUCAUGAAUGGACUGCGUUUGGAACAUGUGAACUGAUUCUUUCCUCCCCAAGUGGCUUCUGGUACCUCAUGUUCUCCACGACAUUCCUCAUAGAGGAACUGACUUAAAUGCUAGCUAGGAACUAGUGGGCGAAGUGUCUCUGCCAUGAGGCCUGAGGGACUGGAAAUCGAUUCCGCGGUCCAGAGGGAGGAUGUAGAGGAUGGAAGGGGAAGGGAGCCGUUCUCUACAGACGAGGACUUUAGGUGCCCACGGUCCUUCAGCAGCUUCCGAAUGACAACUCAGACAAUGAUGAGCUGGAUGGAGCCCAGGCUUACAAUCCCAGCAUUCAGCGCAACAGGUCUGAUGCCAGCUUGGCUACAUGUGACUGUCUCAAUCAGAGGGAAGUGGGACUGCUGCUCAAUACAUGAAGAUCAGUCGUGUGCUUGCCUAGCAUGCCCGAAGUCCCGGGUUUUUAUUUUUAAUUACUUAUUUUUUUUCUGGUUUUUAUUUUUGAUUUUUUAAAAAUGUCUCUCUGUGUAGCCCCGGCUGUCCUGGAACUCACUUUGUAGACCAGGCUGGCCUCAAACUCACAGGAUCUGCCUGCCCCUGCUCCCCAGGUGCUGGGAUUAAAACCACACCAGCCCUGAGGUUUUGUUUUACAUGUGUGGGUGUUUUGCUUGCAUGUGUAUCUGUGCACCGAUUGCAUGCCUGUUGCCCGAGGAGACCAGAAGACAGCAUGGACCCCUGGUAGGGGGUUAGUUAGCCACCGAGUGGGUGCUAUGAGUCUAACUCAGGUCCUCUGGAAAAGCAGCCAGUGCUCUGAACUGCUGAGCUAUUGCUCAGCACCACAUAAACAUGACAGUUCAGUGCUGGAAAGCUAGAGGCCAAAGGAGAAAACACUCAAGGACAUCCUUCUCUGUGAAGUGAGUUUGAGACCAAUCCUGAACUACAUUUGAUCCUGUCAAAAGAGGAGAGGGGGAAUAAAAAGUGACCCUCGAGUAUCUGGCAACCAUUUGAGAGGACACCAACCUUGGAAAGUCCUGGUUUGGUAGAUCAGCAGGUGUGCUAUGGCGUCCUGCACACGCACAACAUAUACAGACACAGCAGUGACAAAAAAAUAUGUCCCAAACUGGAUUGUGAGUGUCAGGCUCUGUUCCCAAGAAGACAUAAAACCACCAAGGA
rnacentral:lncRNA from 1 species